rnacentral:rRNA from 1 species
UACGUAGGGGGCAAGCGUUGUCCGGAUUUAUUGGGCGUAAAGAGCGUGUAGGCGGCCUGGAAGGUCAGCUGUGAAAACUCGAGGCUCAACCUCGAGACGUCGGUUGAAACCACCUGGCUAGAGUCCGGAAGAGGAGUGUGGAAUUCCCGGUGUAGCGGUGAAAUGCGCAGAUAUCGGGAAGAACACCCGUGGCGAAGGCGGCACUCUGGGACGGUACUGACGCUGAGACGCGAAAAGCGUGGGGAGCGAACAGG